rnacentral:tRNA from 1 species
CCUUCUGUAGCUCAAUUGGUAGAGCAUGUGACUGUAGAAAAAUAAGCAGAUAUCACAGGGUCGCUGGUUCGAUUCCGGCCGGAAGGA